ensembl:lncRNA
GUGUGUGUGUGUGUGUGUGUGUGUGUGUGUGUGUGUGUGUGUGUGUGUGUGUGUGUGUGUGUGUGUGUGUGUGGUGUGGGGCGAGCAGUACGUUAUGCGGUGUGGGCACAGAUUGAAGAAAAUAUCUGUACGCUCCAGUGCCUUGUCACCUCGGUACCCAGCAUGCAAAGCCCCUAUGCCGUAUCCUGGGACAGAUUCAAGGUCACCCCUGCUCACUCCAGUUUCUCUCUCUCGCUCCAACUCUCCUUGCCUCUAACUCUAUGUCUCUGACUCUCUCUCUGUCUCUCUCUCUCUCUCCCUCUAGGAUCAGAGAUGGAGGUUGAAGGACCUCUCUCCCCUGUACACCCGUUAUGCACACAUGGGUCCAAAGAUUGUUCCUAAAGAGAGACCGUUUUCUUUUUUUCAUUCUUUCUCACUCUCUUUUUUAAACAAAUCUUUCAUUCAUGCAGUCCUUUUUUUCUUUGACAGAAACUCGUUUUUCUUGAAAGUCCUACUUAAAGUAUGUGGAAUAUGUUAUACUCCAAAAAUGUAUACUAUUACAUAGAUGUCAGCAAAAUUCACUAUACAUAGUCCCUUCCAUCUCUUGCAAUCAGAAGGAUGAAUCGUUAUUUAAAUACAUGUUUAAAUACUGGCUUGAGGGGAACAGGCAGAAUGCUACAGCUAUUUCUAUGAGAGGCAAUAUGUAAAAAAGUAUGAUUAAGAGUGCAUACACACAUAGUGUAUAUGAAGAUAUGCAUAUAUGGGUAGUUGUAUUCAUAAUUCAGCUAAGUUUGUGGUUUGUGUCUAUGUCUGUGACUGUUCAAUGUAUGAUUAAUGUUCGCCGUAUUACACAGCCACGGAAGCAAGACGGUAAGAUGGAUUCAGUGGUCGUGUGAAUGUUUUUUGUGUAUAAGUGUGUGCUGGUGUGUGUGUUUGUGUGUGUGUGUGUGUGUGUGUGUGCACAUGCUUAACUUCCCCAUGUAUUUUGUAUGCGUGUGAAAUAAUACUGAUCUAUGAAUGUUGGGUGCGUUUGUAAGAUUAUUGUGUUAGAGCGAGGGCUCAGCACCUUGGAGUAAACGGUAAUGGUAGUCAGUUUGGCAGGGAACCAACACUGUGGACACAUAUACACACACAUACAAACUGGCUGAAAAGGCAAAAAAGAUAAGCAGUACAGUAUUUUCUUUUUUCGAAACAGUGUGGCACUUGUUUUCUGAAAGUAUGUUUAAAGAUUGUUUUCUAUGUCUACUCAGAAUAGUGUAUUACUACUGAUAUUGUCCAAGGAGCUUGGACUCAAGUUUCUACUGUAAAAAAAUUGACUGAUUCCCUCUCAACUGGUUUGUGGCAUCAGUGUUUUUUUCAUUUCCUCAUAGAUUACUGGGCAUGUAUUGGUUGUUGGUUAUAGAUAGUACAUGAUGGAAGAGCCGCUGUUUCACAGAUUUGACAGUUUGAGUUCCCGUUUGAGUGGUUAAUGUCCAUAAUACGAUGUUUCUUAAAAAGUUCACUAGGAUUGAUCUGUAAGAAUUAGAUCUUGAAAACCAAAAGAAAUAUCAAAACAAUUCCAUUCCAUGCCAUGGGCGUUUCUUUUAUCCACGUUUGAGGAUUAAGACCACAAUGGUUUUUUUCAAUGUUCAACAAUUGAUACUUAUAGGUGUGUUAUAAUGCAUUUGGUAUGUUUUUCUUUUUAUGUUGUCCAGCAGGGUGAUGAUUUCACAAAGAUCAAACUCUUGUUUUUUUUCUUCUUCACACAGUUCCCUCCAUCGCAGGGGUUUAAGCAUGCAUUGUGUUCCGGUUUAAACUGUCCUCAGGUAUGAGAGGAUCACCAGUUCCUUGCACCGUAUUAAUUGGGCAGCUAGCUUUGAGGAGCUAUACAAAUAGAAACAAACUAGUCCUGGUUAGAAAGUACUUAUUGUCUGAGAGUGCUUCUGAGAGUUAAUAACUCCAAUUUAUUUAUAUAAAUAUUAUUCAGCUUAAAAAAGUUCGAAUUCGACGGAAUCAUUUUUCUUUCAGACGUUUUUUUUCACCCAACAUGUCUUCCCUUUUUCUGAUUUAAAAGGGCACCCAAUCACUCUCGUUCGCAGGUUAAAAGUCUUGCAGAGCUUCGUCUUAUCUACCAGUCAGUGUGUGUGUGGCGGUGUGUGUAUUCAGAGGUACACCUCGCGGCGGGAGAGGGUGAGGCAGGAUGUGGUCUUGUAGUCUCCUCCCGUCCGCGUCAGGGGGAUCACCUCUAGGGGGGUCUGCCCCUCUCCCCCCUCCUCCUCCGCCUGCCGCCUGCCGAAGCCGGCGCUGCUGAACGUGUCGUAGGACGCCGAGGUCAUCUUCCGGUUCAGAAGGUUGCGGUUGUGGUCGCCCACGUUGCGGUUGCGGUCGCCCCUCCCCAGGGUGCCGAGGGUGUCUGCGUUGGCCAGGGGCAGCCGCUGCCCUCCUCCUCCGGUGCCGACGCCCCCAAGGCCCGGCUCGCCGCUGCAGGCGCUGCCCGCACUCUCACUGUCGCUCUCCGGGUCGUUGCUGCGCAGGUUGUUGUUGUCGUCGCCGGGAGCGAAAGUCGAGAGCCGCGAUGGGUCGCUGCCGUGACGCUGGCGUUGGCGUGGCGACGGGCGGACCACGGGCAUCCAGCACGUGUCAGAGUGUCCGAACUCGUCACACUCACGGGUGCACUUCCCUGUCAAAGUAACAUCUGGCAGCUGUCUGGCAUCUGGACAUGGAGAGAAGAGACAAGAGAAGAGGAGUGAGAUCCAGGAGCAAGAGGGAGCUGGAGCAGGAGGAGUGAGUUCUCGGAGCACGAGGGAGAUGGAUCCGGAGGAGCGAGAUCCAGG